rnacentral:rRNA from 1 species
CGCUGGCGGCAUGCCUAACACAGUGCAAGUCGAACGAGACCUUCGGGUCUAGUGGCGCACGGGUGCGUAACACGUGGGAAUUUGCCUCGGGGUAUGGAAUAACUCAGGGAAACUUGAGCUAAUACCAUAUAAUGUCUUCGGACCAAAGAUUUAUCGCCCUGAAGAUAAGCCCGCGUAGGAUUAGCUAGUUGGUGGGGUAAAGGCUCACCAAGGCGACGAUCCUUAGCUGGUCUGAGAGGAUGAUCAGCCACACUGGGACUGAGACACGGCCCAGACUCCUACGGGAGGCAGCAGUGGGGAAUUUUGGACAAUGGGCGCAAGCCUGAUCCAGCAAUGCCGCGUGCAGGAUGAAGGCCUUCGGGUUGUAAACUGCUUUUGUACGGAACGAAACGGUGAGCUCUAAUACAGUUUGCUAAUGACGGUACCGUAAGAAUAAGCACCGGCUAACUACGUG